AGGACGAACGCUGGCGGCGUGCUUAACACAUGCAAGUCGAGCGGAAAGGCCCUUCGGGGUACUCGAGCGGCGAACGGGUGAGUAACACGUGAGCAAUCUGCCCUUAGCUUCGGGAUAGCCCCGGGAAACCGGGAUUAAUACCGAAUACGACCUCGGCCGACAUCGGCUUUGGUGGAAAGUUUUUCGGCUAGGGAUGAACUCGCGGCCUAUCAGCUUGUUGGUGGGGUAAUGGCCUACCAAGGCGACGACGGGUAGCCGGCCUGAGAGGGCGACCGGCCACACUGGGACUGAGACACGGCCCAGACUCCUACGGGAGGCAGCAGUGGGGAAUAUUGCGCAAUGGGCGAAAGCCUGACGCAGCGACGCCGCGUGGGGGAUGAAGGCCUUCGGGUUGUAAACCCCUUUCAGCAGGGACGAAGCGAGAGUGACGGUACUGCAGAAGAAGCGCCGGCUAACUACGUGCCAGCAGCCGC
rnacentral:rRNA from 1 species